CAAAAUAACCUACCCUCUUAACCUUCCUUAAAGAAUCUAUUUUCAAUUUCACAUUCACUUUGUUCUUCUUCCUCUUAGGAUUCAAAUCAGAGAAAAAAAUUCUCAACUUUGAACAUCUACAUCUUCUUCUUCUCCAUUUUCUGUUCUUCUCUGUUUCGCCGUCGUCGUCCUUAUCAUCGUCACUUCCCCACCGGUUGCUUCUCAUUGUUAGGGUUUCAACACUUUUUAAAGGUUCUUGGUUGUUGUUCUGGUAUUGAGCUUCAAAAAUGUGCAUCUGCUGUAACAAUCUUAGAACUUGUUGUGAAUAGAUGAAGAAGUUGCUGAAGUUGCUAUAGCAAGUCUGCUAAAUUGCUAAAUUUAUUGCAGUUGUUGCUGAAGUAUGUACAACACUGCUUAAGUCUAUGGUGCAACUGCUAGAGUUUUGAUAACAAUUUCAACAUUUACUGCAACAGCCGCUUCAUCAAUUUCAGCAAUUGCUUUACUUUCAUCUUUAUUUAAAAUGAUUGAUUAAAUUUAAUAAAUUAUUUUUAUUUUGUCUCAGAUGAGUAGAUUAAAUGGCUCAAAGUAAAAGAAAAAAUUCUAGAAAUGAUGUUCGUACUAGAAGUUCAAAAAUAAAGCGAAUCAGUACACAAAAAUAGGAUGAAAAACAACAAAAUAAAGACAUGGAUGAAACAAAAUUGACAAAUCUUGUUGAGAAUAUCAUUAUUGAGACUAAGGCAUCGUCAAACCUUAGGCAACUGGAUGAGAAUUUGGAGCAGCCUAUAGAAGAAGAUGAUGAUUCUCGAAGAAGAGAUGAUUCAUAAUUUACAGAAAUUGUUGAAGAAUAUGCAGCACCGCUUCAAACAAUUGCAUCUGCUAAUAUGUUUCAAAAGUCAGUUUGCAGCAGUUGUUGCAUAUGUUUCAGUAGUUACUGUAAUUUGUUGAUUUAAUUUUAUUCAACAAUUUUCAUAAUUUAUUAAAUUUGUUAAGAUAAUUUUAUUCUACGUGUA